UGGGGAAUUGUUCGCAAUGGGCGCAAGCCUGACGACGCAACGCCGCGUGGAGGAUGAAGAUCUUCGGGUCGUAAACUCCUGUCGAGCGGGACGAAUGCCUCGCGGGUGAAUAACCCGUGAGGGUGACGGUACCGCUAAAGGAAGCCCCGGCUAACUCCGUGCCAGCAGCCGCGGUAAUACGGGGGGGGCAAGCGUUGUUCGGAAUUACUGGGCGUAAAGGGCUCGUAGGUGGCCAACUAAGUCAGACGUGAAAUCCCCAGGCUCAACUUGGGAACUGCGUCUGAUACUGGAUGGCUUGAAUUCGGGAGAGGGAUGCAGAAUUCCAGGUGUAGCGGUGAAAUGCGUAGAUAUCUGGAGGAAUACCGGUGGCGAAGGCGGCAUCCUGGACCAAUAUUGACGCUGAGGAGCGAAAGCCAGGGGAGCAAA
rnacentral:rRNA from 1 species